GGCCUGUUAGCCUGACCUCGGUGCCAGGGAAGGUUAUGGAGCUGAUUGUCUUGAGGGAGAUCGCGUGGCACGUGCAGGACAACCAGGGGAUCAGGCCUGGGGUUCAUGAAGGGCAGGUUCUGCUUGACCAACCUGAUCUCCUUUGAUGACCUAGUGACCCACCUGGUGGAUGAGGGAAAAGCUGUUGAUGUGGUCUACCUAGACUUCAGCAAAGCCUUUGACAUUGUCCCCCACAGUCUUCUUCUGCAGAAGCUGGCAGCCUGUGUCUUGGACAGAUACACUCUUGGCUGGGUAAGGAACUGGCUGGAGGGCCGGGCCUGGAGAGUGGUGGUGAACGGAGAUAAAUCCAGCUGGCGACCGGUCAUGAGUGUUGUUCCCCAGGGGUCGAUGCUGGGGCCUGUCCUCUUCAAUAUCUUUCUUGAUGAUCUGGAUGAGGGCAUUGAGUGCAUCCUCAGUAAGUUUGCAGAUGACAUUAAGUUGGCUGGAAGUGUCGAUGUUGCCUGAGGGUAGUGAGGCCCUACAGAGGGAUCUGGACAGGCUGGAUAGCUGGGCUGAAGCCAAUGGGAUGAGGUUCAAUAAGACCAAAUGUCAGGUCCUGCACUUUGGCCACAACAACCCCAGGUAACGCUAGAGGCUUGAGGCUUGGGGCAGAGUAGCUGGAAGAUUGUGUAGAGGAAAUGGACCUGGGGAUACUGACUGAUGCUUGACUGAACAUGAGCCAGCAGUGUGCCCAGGUGGCCAAGAAGGCCAAUGGCAUCCUGGCUUGUAUCAGAAAUAGUGUGGCCAGCAGGAACAGGGAAGUACUUGUCCCUUUGUACUCAGCACUGGUGAGG
ensembl:lncRNA